GGGGAAUAUUGCACAAUGGGGGAAACCCUGAUGCAGCGACGCCGCGUGGAGGAAGAAGGUCUUCGGAUUGUAAACUCCUGUUGUUGAGGAAGAUAAUGACGGUACUCAACAAGGAAGUGACGGCUAACUACGUGCCAGCAGCCGCGGUAAAACGUAGGUCACAAGCGUUGUCCGGAAUUACUGGGUGUAAAGGGAGCGCAGGCGGGAAGACAAGUUGGAAGUGAAAUCCAUGGGCUCAACCCAUGAACUGCUUUCAAAACUGUUUUUCUUGAGUAGUGCAGAGGUAGGCGGAAUUCCCGGUGUAGCGGUGGAAUGCGUAGAUAUCGGGAGGAACACCAGUGGCGAAGGCGGCCUACUGGGCACCAACUGACGCUGAGGCUCGAAAGUGUGGGUAGCAAACAGGAUUAGAUACCCUGGUAGUCCACACUGUAAACGAUGAUUACUAGGUGUUGGAGGAUUGACCCCUUCAGUGCCGCAGUUAACACAAUAAGUAAUCCACCUGGGGAGUACGACCGCAAGGUUGAAACUCAAAGGAAUUGACGGGGGCCCGCACAAGCAGUGGAGUAUGUGGUUUAAUUCGACGCAACGCGAAGAACCUUACCAAGUCUUGACAUCCUGCGACGCACAUAGAAAUAUGUGUUUCCUUCGGGACGCAGAGACAGGUGGUGCAUGGUUGUCGUCAGCUCGUGUCGUGAGAUGUUGGGUUAAGUCCCGUAACGAGCGCAACCCUUAUGGUCAGUUACUACGCAAGAGGACUCUGGCCAGACUGCCGUUGACAAAACGGAGGAAGGUGGGGAUGACGUCAAAUCAUCAUGCCCUUUAUGACUUGGGCUACACACGUACUACAAUGGCGUUAAACAAAGAGAAGCAAGACCGCGAGGUGGAGCAAAACUCAGAAACAACGUCCCAGUUCGGACUGCAGGCUGCAACUCGCCUGCACGAAGUCGGAAUUGCUAGUAAUCGCAGAUCAGCAUGCUGCGGUGAAUACGUUCCCG
rnacentral:rRNA from 1 species